AAAAAAAAAAAAAAAAAAAAAAAAAAAAAAAAAAAAAAAGGAACGAAGAAUUGUUUGGCUUCAAAAGCUUAACGUGAAGGAAUGUGACUUAAACAACAACACUCGUGUUUGCUCUCGUCAUUUUGCAUCUGGCAGGCCAUGUAAGAAUUCUUUCGAUAACUCUCACCCGGACUGGGCACCUUCACUACACGUCAGAAAUUCUGUUUUUGACAGGGUUGUACAGAGAAACAUUAGUCGACAUUCCAGAAGGCUUGAAAGGGAAUCAAGAACAUUGGAACAGAUCAAUGCUGUCGUAAACAAUGGAAAGAGUGCCGCCAGUAGACAAGAUAAUGAUGUGCCCAAUGCAGUGGUAAACAACGAACAUGAUCAUUAUGAAAUACCUCUAGUGUCUGAUAUGUUGGAAAGUGGAAGCAAUGAUUUUGCAUCUGAACAAGUUCCUAAUUUUUUCGGUGUAGAAAUCAGCGAUGAAUGUAACAACGGUGUUGAAAACCAACAUGAAGCUACUGGAGUCUACAAAAUGUUGGAACUGAUGACAAGGGAAAGGGACUGUCUACUUGUUGAAAAUGAGAAAUUACGUAGAAUGAAUGAGCAGUUAACUGCAUCUGAAAAAACCCUUCAACAACAAGUGAAUAAUGUGAAUGAAAGAGGAAAAUGCCAGUUGUUUACUGAAAUUAGUGUUGAUGAAAAAAAGUGCCUGUUAUUUUACACAGGGCUGAAUACCUUUACCCUAUUUAUGAUCUGUUCCAAUGUUCUUGAUUCCCUUUCAAGCCUUCUGGAAUGUCGACUAAUGUUUCUCUGUACAACCCUGUCAAAAAUGGAAUUUCUGAUGUGUAGUGAAGGUGCCCAGUCUGGGUGAGAGUUAUCGAAAGAAUUCUUACAUGGCGUACCUGUUAUGAAAAUGAUAUUUAAAACACUGUGAUUGAUGCAAAUGAUUAUAAACUACAUUGAUUUACAAA